GAGCGGUAUUGUUUCUUCGGAAACGAGAGAGCGGCGCACGGGUGCGGAACACGUGUGCAACCUGCCUUUAUCUGGGGGAUAGCCUUUCGAAAGGAAGAUUAAUACCCCAUAAUAUUUUGAAUGGCAUCAUUUAAAAUUGAAAACUCCGGUGGAUAGAGAUGGGCACGCGCAAGAUUAGAUAGUUGGUAGGGUAACGGCCUACCAAGUCAGUGAUCUUUAGGGGGCCUGAGAGGGUGAUCCCCCACACUGGUACUGAGACACGGACCAGACUCCUACGGGAGGCAGCAGUGAGGAAUAUUGGACAAUGGGUGAGAGCCUGAUCCAGUCAUCCCGCGUGAAGGACGACGGCCCUAUGGGUUGUAAACUUCUUUUGUACAGGGAUAAACCUUUCCACGUGUGGAAAGCUGAAGGUACUGUACGAAUAAGCACCGGCUAACUCCGUG
rnacentral:rRNA from 1 species